rnacentral:rRNA from 1 species
CUACCCGGGUAUCUAAUCCUGUUCGCUCCCCACGCUUUCGCUCCUCAGCGUCAGUAACGGCCCAGAGACCCGCCUUCGCCACCGGUGUUCUUCCUGAUAUCUGCGCAUUCCACCGCUACACCAGGAGUUCCAGUCUCCCCUACCGCACUCAAGCCGGCCCGUACCCACCGCAAGCCCCCAGUUAAGCCAGAGGAUUUCACGACAGACGCGACCAGCCGCCUACGAGCUCUUUACGCCCAAUAAUUCCGGACAACGCUCGCGCCCUACGUAUUACCGCGGCUGCUGGCAC